rnacentral:tRNA from 1 species
GCAAGUAAAGCUUAAGUUUGGAAGCAAUAGUUUUGUAAUCUGUAGAUCGUUUGUCUAACGUGCUUGUU